rnacentral:rRNA from 1 species
UACAGAGGUCCCAAGCGUUGUUCGGAUUCACUGGGCGUAAAGGGCGCGUAGGUGGUGAGGCAAGUCGGAUGUGAAAGCUCGGAGCUCAACUCCGAAAUGGCAUUGGAAACUACCUUGCUCGAGGGUUGGAGGGGGGACUGGAAUACUUGGUGUAGCAGUGAAAUGCGUAGACAUCAAGUGGAACACCAGUGGCGAAGGCGAGUCCCUGGACAGCUCCUGACACUGAGGCACGAAAGCUAGGGGAGCAAACAGG